UACGGGGGGAGCAAGCGUUGUUCGGAUUUACUGGGCGUAAAGGGUGCGUAGGCGGCUUAUUAAGUCAGGGGUGAAAGACGGUGGCUCAACCAUCGCAGUGCCCUUGAUACUGAUGAGCUUGAAUACACUUGAGGUAGGCGGAAUGUGACAAGUAGCGGUGAAAUGCAUAGAUAUGUCACAGAACACCAAUUGCGAAGGCAGCUUACUAAGGUGCAAUUGACGCUGAGGCACGAAAGCGUGGGGAUCAAACAGG
rnacentral:rRNA from 1 species